rnacentral:lncRNA from 1 species
AUGCUAAUGUUACACAAUGUUUACCCAGGACUAAGCUUGAUGGAAAUAUUAAUCAGAAAACAUAUAGGUUUCCAUAUUAAAGCUGAAGUUUUUGUAGCAACAUCAGGCCCUUACCAGAAGCUAGAGAUGUAUAUUUGCCAAGAGAAACAGCAAGAUAUUGCCAGCAGUAGGUUUGGGGAAAAUGGAAGCACAAGAACUGUUUUCAGUCUAGGUAAUCUCUCUCCCCUCAUCUCUGUGUUUAUUUGUGAGCAGAUGCUUCCAGGAGCUGUACCCCAAUUACUCAAAGCAGUGAUCCAUCAGGAAUCCAGCCACCCCAUUUGCAUUAUCUCCAUUACCUUCAGUGGAAAAGUUGCCCUGUCAGCCUGUCAGGAAGGCCUUGGACUUGCCAUUUUCAGGCAGUGCUCAUCCUCUGCCACAUUAGUACCCAUUGUGUAGGGGAGAGCAGCAGAGAGGCACAGCCAGCAGCCCUCCAAGGGCCAGCUUGUCCUACAUCUCACCCUGCAGCAGAGCUGGAGCACCAGGGACAGACUGACACAGUGAGCACGUGCAUGACAUGUUAAAGGAUUGCCACAGCUACGCUGCCCAGUGUGUUGAAAUUACACACAACUUUCCAUGGGUGCUGUAAAUGAAAAGGAUAAUUCAUUUAUGUAGAGAAGCAAUUACCUUGCUGGAACAACAAGUCCAACCUAUAGUUCCACCCAAGCUAAAUUAAGGCCACAACUCCUGCUAGACUUAUGAGAGUAGGGCAGGAACAUAGCACGUUGUUAAAUACAAGGCAAUAUUUAAUGUAACCCCAUGCCAGGUUUACAAGAGAAGCCAUGUAUCAUUUACUAAAGCAGUCAGUGAGUUGGGGCUUAUUAGGUAAAUGUUGGAGCUAUGGAAAACUGCCAUGGCCUUGUUCUAAAAAUUUUAAUCACAUCAUUAUUAGCCACAGUCCAUCUAAUAUAUUCAUGGCCAUUUAGUGGCCUAUACUAUGUGUUACUUGUAAAGACUGAAUGGAAAUGGCACUGAACAGAAUGUGUUGGGCAUAGUCAUCAGAACUGGGGUUGUUUCAAUACAGAAAUGUGAAAUAGAUUGAGGUUUAAGUGGUUUCAAAUUUUUGUGAGUUUGUUUUUCUUUGUUUUAUUUAAAUAAAUAUUCCUUAAAACCACA